GUGCUUUGAGCUCUGGUUUAGUUUUGAGCUUUGCCAUCUCCUGAGGAGAAUAUCCAGCUGUGACGGAAGGUGAGGACGUACUUUGGAGCUGGAUCUGGUGCCAGAGCUGUUUCGGAGAAGCCAUCGUCUUUAGCCUGCUCCGAGCUGGUUUUGUACUCUUCGAGAUAUUCUGCUGGAACAUAUACUGCAGGUGAAGCACGGCAGGGAACGGAGAGAACAGGCAAGAGAGGGGAAACCAAGAUGGCGGCUUCCUGCUGCUCGAACACCAGCAGCGUGGAAGGUCCGGUCCGAUGAGGGAGUGUCUGCGCAGCAUGGCACGAGCCUGGGCGUUGGUCAUGUUGGCGGUGGGCUCUCCGUUGAUGGCCAAGAUGAGGUCGCCGACACCGAGACGUCCGUCGCGGCUAAUCGAGCCGCCGUGGAUUAUGCUGCGGAUCAGCAUCCCCAGACCGUCUUUCAUGGCGCUCACCGUCAUGCCUUUGGAGCACUGGCUCCUCGGCCUCCUUCCUCUCCAGCUCCAGCUCCCUCAGGACGAUGGUGGUGGUGGG